UUCCAUUACUAGGUUACAAAAGGUUGUUAUGUCUACCUUACUAACACUCUCUUUUGCUGGCAUUCUCUCUUGCCCUCUCAUAUCCUGGCUCUGAUAGAGUAAGCUACCAUAUUGUAAGACGUUCUAUGGAGAAGCCCACAUGGCAUAUAACUGAGGGUGGCCUCUCAGUCCAAGAGCCUGUGAGGAACUGAGUCCUGCCAACCUUCCCCAUCAAGCCUUGAGAUGACGUCAGCCCAGUGAGAGACCCAGAACCAGAGGACUCAUCUAAGCCAUGCCUGAUUUCCUGGCCCACUGAAACUGAAAAGCACAAUGGAGUAUGAAUGACAGUAAACAUUUCCGAAUGGAUAAAAAAACGAAUAUUGGCUGGGCGCGGUGGCUCACGCCUGUAAUCCCAGCACUUUGGGAGGCCAAGGCUGGCGGAUCACUCAAGGUCAAGAAUUCAAGACCAGCCAAGCUAAUGGGGAGAAACCUUUUCUCUACUAAAAAUACACGCAUGGUGGCGCAUGACUAUAAUCGCAGCUACUUGGGAAGCUGAGGCAUAAGAAUCACUUGACCUGGGAGGCGAGGGUUGCAGUGAGCCGAGAUCAUGUCACUGCACUCCAGCCUGGGUGACAGAGCAAGACUCUGUCUGAAAAAAAAAAAAAAAAAAAUGAAUAUGGAAAGUACCCUGACCAUGUAUGGUACCCAUAGCAUCAACAUUUAAUAAACAUUAAAAGUCACAAUGCAUGUACAGACUGAUAAUCUAAAAAUAAUUGCUAGUAGAGACAGAGACAAACAGAACUGUCAUUAUUACUCGAAGAUACCAAAGUAAGGAUAUAACAAACAGAGUAUAUCUCACACUCCUGAGACAAUAAAGUGUGGCAGAAUCACUGAAUACUGCUAAAACAUAGGAACGUUUCUACAAAAAGCCUGCAAGGUAGAUACAUUUAUUGUGCUGCCAUAAACCUGCCCCCUAAAUGACUUAUUAAUACCCACAGCUAAUACUUAGAAACUCAGAUUCAAUAAAUUAGCAGUGAAUUACAGAGAAAACAAUCACAUGAUAUCUGUAGUCCCAUUUAAAUAAAGCUCCACCAUGAAGGAAGCCUGCAAAGGAAGCUGGCAGUGAUUCUGAAGCAGCAGCAGCAGCAAUCCAUAAAGCCUUCUUAAUUUUCUCGUCAUUUAAGAAUUAAACCACUUCCAGUUCACACAGAUACUACCAGGUGCACUAAAUUGAUGUCAUUAUCAGCCAUCAGGAAAUACCCACUGAGACCUAUACCAACACUGAGAAGUUUUGUUAAACAGCUGUGUGUUUUAAUUGAUUUGUAUUAUUUAAAAUAGAAACAGUUAAAAGUCAGUUAUCGGAUGUUGUGUAAAAGAGAUGCCUAAAGACUCCAGGGAGACUGAGUUCAGAAGAAAGCCAAUCACUGGAACUUCACUUGAGCACUUAAGAUUAUUACUAGAGGAAGCACAAUUAAAUCAUCAGUUUAUCAGCCAUCAUUAUAAAUCACCAGGCAACAUAUCAAGCUUCAUUAUUUAAGAAUCCUUAACCAGUGACUUCCUGCAUCACUGAGAGUCAAAAGCAAUCUAUUCACCAAAAGGUACCUAAGGAGUAUGUUUUUUUUGUUGUGUUUUUAUUUUUUUUUUACCCUGAGAAAUUUAUCAUGGAAACAUAAUGAAACCCACUAAAAUUAAUUGUCAUGUUUUUGCAUGUUUUAGGCAUUCCGAAGUCUUCAAAAGGAACUCAGUGGUAUUUGGGAUAUGCAAAAUGUGUGCUGCACAGGCUUCUCCUAUUCCACUCUGUACAAACAUUUAAACUUACUCUUAUAUAGUAUUAAAUACUUGCAUGGUAGGACGAAAUGAGGAAAAUAAUCAACGAGUUUCUUCCCACUUUUAUCCCUCCAACCCCAUUCAUUCACUUGUACUUUCCUUUCCCAGACAUAUGGAAUCAGAAAAUAAAGAACCUCCAAAGUUUUGGUUUCCAAAUUUAAGCACAUAGUUCAAGUGUUAGAAAGAAUAUAUUUAAAAGGAGAUAAGAUACAGAUUGAGUUUCAUAUACAACUCUCUCUCCUCAGAGCUGGGAAGGAAAGCAGGGGCUUAGAGAGAGGCAAUUUUGAAAAGCCAUUUCCCAAGAGGGGCAUGUGUAUGUGUACGUGCUCAUGUGUGUGCAUAUACAUGCGUACAAAAUAACACAACACAAUAGAAUCUCUUGUGGUUUGGAAAUUUGAGAAUAGAGAGGAUAUGGUUCUAGUACACAGUAGGUUUCAUGAAGAAAAGUCCCUUCCAUCAUCAUCAUUAUAUUUAGGCAGCUGUAAAACAGGAGGGGCAGCCAGACUUUUCUGAGCAUAGAAGGACUGCAGACAGCCACCUGAUGUUUCUGCAGCCCUGUUGCGGUAGCAGAAAAGAGUGAGGUGUAGUAGGGCUGACUUAUUCAUUAGACAGAGUAGGCAUGGUGCCUGGGGUCUACAAUACCUUUAGGAAUCCAUGAAAAUAUUUUAAUUGCUUUUUAAAAAAUAAAAUAAUAAACUUGUAGGUCAAAGAAAGUAUUUUAAUAUAUAGUAUGAAUACAGUCAUCUCUCUAAUAAUGCAGCUAUAAAAUAUAAUUUUAAUACCUUUUUAUGGAGAAAGGAGUCCGUUAAGGUAAAUGUAUCUAAGGCCCACAAAAGUCAGGAUGUGGUCCUAGAAAGCAAAGGUUUGAUGAGAGAGACAGCGAGGGUGACAGAGAUGAGGAGAAAGAGGCAGCACAGACCUGAAACAGAGCCCCUGGGGUAGAUAUUAUCGGUUAGGGUCCAGAAGUUUAGUAUAAAUUCCAGGGUGGGAAGGGGGGAUCCUAAAUUUGGCAUAGCUUAAUCUUCAAUGGCUGAGAAAAUCACUGAAAUAACUAUGUUUACCUGGAAAAAAUAAUAAUGAUUAUGAUUACAAUAAUUACAUAAUAUAUUUACUACAUAUUAUGUGCUAGGCAAUGUACAACGUAUUUUACAUAUAUUGAUUCAUUUAGUCUUCCCAUUCGCUCUGUGUAGAUGCUACUGUAACCUCUAAUGGAAAAUCAAACUAAGACACAGAAUCUUUGUAAUUUAACCAAGAUCAUGCAGCUAGUAAGUGGUGGCAUACAAAGUCAAAUCCACUCUCUCUGGCUCCAACACCUAGAUAAAGGCACUACCAUUUCCCAAAGGAACCAGUUCUCCUUGGCUGACUCCAACAAGUCUGGGCAGGAAUUGCACAACAUGCAUGUGCAACCACUUGUCAUACCACUAAACAAGGAAGCCAUCAAAGCCACAUGGGUUGUAUCAAAAUGACUCAGGAGCCAAUGUCUUUGGCCAGACUUCCACUGGCUAAAGAUGAGGUAAACUGAACAUCAAUAAAGAUAACCACUACUAUGAACGGACACAUACAAAACAUUUAUGAGUCCAUAAAGACAUAUUUUUUAAGGUUCUUGGUUACCUUUGGAGGAUACUAGAGAACCAACUCAUUAUCUUGAAAGCUAGCUCACAAAGGGAAAGAAUCAAGCAUUUAUCCUGCCCUUCCUAAUCAAAGCAUACCUCAGGUAAGUAAGAUGGAGAGAGAAACUUUGUCAUUAUAGAAGUAGUCCAACUAAUAAAUAAUGAAUGAUAGAAUUAGAACAUCACCAUCUUGCAAUCACUAAUGAAUUAAUGGGUCUAGGCAAUAAUCAUCAAUGGCUGCUAACAUCACAAAAAAGAGGGAUAACCAGACAUAAUGUCCCCCCGACGGCAUACCCAGAAGCAACCAUGAAGUAUUCUUGCCAAAAAAUCGAGCCUGAAUUUGAUCAAGCCUCAAGAUCUAACUACCAGUUUAUAAAAAAACACAGGGAGGAACAUAGUAAACACCACAGAAAUACAAUUAGAAAAAAAAAAUCAAGACUGCAAAACACUACAGAACAAACAACCUGUUUCUUCAACAAAAAAUUACCAGGAAAAAAAAAGAGAUGGAGGAAUGAGAAUCUGUAAGAUUCCAAAAGUCUUAAGAUAUGUUAACUAUUUUAAUGUGUAAACCUUAUUUUGGAUCCUGAUAUAAACAAACUAUAAAAAAAGAACUUGGGAAAUUUAAACAUUAAUUGCUUAUUUAAUGAUAUUAAGAAAUUAUUAAUAAUUUUAUCUGUGAUAAUAGAAUUGUGGUUAUGUUUUUUUUGAGUCCUUACCUUUUUUAAUUAACUAUUUUGAGAUAGUUGUAGAUUCAUGUUUAGUUGUAAGAAAUUAUACAAAGAGGUCAGGUGCAGUGAUUCAUGCCUGUAAUCCCAUCACUUUGAAAGGCCAAGGCAGGAGGAUCACUUGAGGCCAGAAGUUCAAGAGCAGCCUGGGGAACAUAGUAAGACCCCCAUCUCUACUUUAAACAUAAAAAUUUAAAAAAAUGACACAAAAGGAUAUCUCAUAUCCUUUAUCCAGUUUCCCCCAAUGGUAACAUCUUGCAAGACUAUAGUACAAUAUCACAAACAAGAUACUGACGCUGAUUCAGUGAAGAUCCAGAACAUUUCCACUGCCAUAAGGUUCCCUCACGUUGCCUUUAAUAGCCACAGCCAUUUCCCUCCCAUUCACACUCCCUAUCACCUGGCAACCACAGAUCUGUUCUUCAGUCCAUGAUUUUGUCAUUUCAAAAAUGUUAUAGAAAUGGAAUCAAACACUCUGCAACUUCUGGGAUUGCCUUUUUGCACUCAGCAUAAUUCUUUGAAGAUUCAUCCGGGUUGCUGAGUAUAUCAAUAAUUGGUCCCUUUUUAUUGCUAAGUAGUAUUCCAUGGUAAUGGUAUGCUACUCUCUGUUUAACCAUCUACCCACUGAAGACACCUGGGUUUUUUUCCAUUUUGAGCUAUUAUAAAUAAAACUGAUACGAACAUUCAUGUAGAACUCUUAUCUUUUAAAAAUAUUUACUUAAAUAUGUAGGGAUGAAAUAAAAUGAUGCUAGGAAUUGCUUCAAAAAAGUUCCUAACUGUAUGAGAUAUGGAAAAAACCAAACUCUUCAUCAGCUAAUAAGCACAUUACACAAUUAUCUCUACUUUUGUAUGUGUUUAAAAUUUUCCAUAAUAUAAAGUUCAAAAAAAGAAUCCACUAAGAAAAAAUUACUUAUCUGACCACUAUACACCCUGCACAUAAACACACAUAUCUUAAAGUGAAAUUGAAGGUACCCAUUUUUAUUUUGUGACUUUAGGCCAUGCCAAGAUCACAGGAAUCCCUUUCUUAAAACAUAGAGCCAACACCUUCCAGUGAUCAUUAUUGUAACACUCACUAUAACAAUUAAGGCAGAUCCAACCUAAGUACCUGUUAACUUUCUUUCAGAAGUUUUUUUAUUAGGCUACAGGGUUGAUAUAAUAGGUAGUCUGUAAUGUUGGGCAAAAGCAGGUAAGUAAUCACCAUAAUCAAAUGUAUGAAAUUUAUGAGUGGCUUAUCUUCAAAAGAGGGGGUUUACAUCUGACAUGAAUAGGUCCUUAUCAUCAAGACAAAUGCUGAAAGAACAGAAGUGUGAUUACUAAAGAUGAAGAGCAACAAACUAUAUGAGCACAAUCAGGCCUGAAAAUGAAGUGAAAUGCAUUUUAUAUUAUGCAAAGGCUGCAUUUGUUUUUAAGCCACUCUGGAGGACAGCAUAUUAUUAUCAUGUUCAGUCCGCAAGCUAAUGAUUCUUUAGUAUAAUUCUGCAAAACGGUGUCUACUAUUCAACACCACCAAUAUUCUAUCAGCCCAUUCUUCCCUAGUGCUGUAUCAUCUUCUCCCCCUCCAUCUCACUGAGGACACCUUGUUUUCUUUUGUAUGUGGUACUAAAAAAUGAAGACCCAUUCUCCCAAAGAUCUCAAGCAAAGAAGAGGAUAUAAAUACCAACCCAUUAACCAAUCUGGGAUUAAAAGCCAAGAUCUCCAAAGGAAAUAUUCAUGAUGAUUUUCAAAUGCCAAGUAGUGCAAUGGCUGCAAAUGAGUUUCCCCUACUUGGUCUGUAAUGCCUCGACACGCACUGUGAUGAGCAAUUUUAAAGCUUAAAUAAACAUUGUUAUUAGAAGUAGGAUAUCUGUUCACAGAUCAAAUCCCAAUAAGAUCAAUUCCAAAGGACCACCUAAGUUUUAUAGUUGUGUUGUAGUGUGGUUAUAUCAAAUAUCCCUCCUAUUAAGUGAGCCCCAGCCUUAGUGUUAGAAAUAGUAAUGCUUGUUGUGAUAGGAUUUGAUCUGUAAUACCGUACUACGAUAGGGAGGAAAAAGAUGGUACACUAAUAGGCUGUGUGACAGUGAAAUAACUAUAAAAUGAAAGACAUUCGUCAAUUCUAUUAAAAAUAAUCUAUAUACAGAUUGGUUCAGUGGUGAGUUUAACAAUGUAAGAGUUCUAUCAAUAAAAAGAAAUCUAUGUCAACAUUGUAUCAAAAUCUUGUUCUUAUGUCAUGGGUCAGAACAAAGACACGUGGAAUUAAAAUAUAAAAUAUCACAGACCACUAGAAAUUGUGCUAUAUACAGGCCUGCAUUAAGGAGAUUAAUUAUCUGCUAGAGGCAGAAAAGGAAAAUGGUAAGAACUGGAUUCAAGAGUAUAAUGGAAUUGAGAAAGAGUUGAUAAAUGGGUGUAAAGUUAAAUACACAUAUAUUUUUGAAUAUAUUUUUCCUCUAUCUUUUGCCAUCUUUCUUGACUCUUACAACCAAACAUUUUCUGGGUCUUGUGGAUAAGGACUCUACAAUACAAAUUUUUGUACAGUUUGUGGCCACUGACAAGACACUAGAAGCUGGAACUCUUAGCACUCAUCUUGACAUACUUAAAGGUUAAUCCAAAAUAGUUUGUAUAAAAUAAAA
rnacentral:lncRNA from 1 species